rnacentral:rRNA from 1 species
CCUACGGGAGGCAGCAGUAGGGAAUCUUUCACAAUGGGCGAAAGCCUGAUGGAGCAACGCCGCGUGCAGGAUGAAGGCCUUCGGGUUGUAAACUGCUUUUAUAAGCGAGAAAUAUGAUGGUAACUUAUGAAUAAGGAUCGGCUAACUACGUGCCAGCAGCCGCGGUCAUACGUAGGAUCCGAGCAUUAUCCGGAGUGACUGGGUGUAAAGAGUUGCGUAGGUGGCAUAAUAAGUAGCUAGUGAAAUCUGGUGGCUCAACCAUUCAGACUAUUAGCUAAACUGUUAAGCUCGAGACCGUUAGGGGUAACUGGAAUUUCUAGUGUAGGAGUGAAAUCCGUAGAUAUCGAGAGGAACACUCGUGGCGAAGGCGGGUUCCUGGACAUUAACUGACGCUGAGGCACGAAGGCCAGGGGAGCGAAAGGGAUUAGAUACCCGGGUAGUC